rnacentral:rRNA from 1 species
UACGGAGGGUGCAAACGUUGCUCGGAAUCAUUGGGCGUAAAGCGAACGUAGGCGGCUAUGUAAGUCGGGUGUGAAAGCCCUCGGCUCAACCGAGGAAGUGCAUUCGAAACUGCAUGGCUUGAGUAUCGGAGAGGAAAGCAGAAUUCCGGGUGUAGCGGUGAAAUGCGUAGAUAUCCGGAGGAAUACCAGUGGCGAAGGCGGCUUUCUGGCCUGAUUCUGACGCUGAGGAGCGAAAGCCAGGGGAGCGAACGGG